ACGAGGAGGAGCAGCCGGUGCCCCCGCCCCCGAGUUCACCGACGACGCCGUCCUCUGGCCCAAGCUUGCUGCUACUGCUCCUCCUCUCCUCUGUCCAUGGCUUCCCCAAGCAGUAAGAUUUCAGUAAGAGCAGAGACCUAAUUCAACAGGCCUCUUGAUGAACGGAGAGGGGCUGCAGGGGAAGAGCCAGGCAAUUUCAAAUCUUGGGAGCUAAGAACAACAGGCCGCCCUAAAAGAAGAGGGUUUUGAUUUUAAUCUACGCAUGUCCUGUUGCCAACUAUUGUCAUGACCGUACUUUACAAUCUUUCAUAUAGAUGCAUUUAUCUAUUAUGCUGGUAUUUGAACAGACUUUUGUGUUCAAGUGGGCUUCUUUAGAUGUGUUGAUGGCAGUUAGAUUUCUAAUUGCUGCAGCGACAUGCAUGAUAUAUAUGUUAUCUCCCUGUUGGCUGUGCAUAACCAAGUGUACGUAAU